rnacentral:rRNA from 1 species
UACGUAGGGACCAAGCGUUGUUCGGAGUUACUGGGCGUAAAGGGCGCGUAGGCGGCAAUUCAAGUCAUCUGUGAAAUCUCCGGGCUUAACCCGGAACGGUCAGGUGAUACUGUUUUGCUAGAGUGCGGAAGGGGCAAUCGGAAUUCUCGGUGUAGCGGUGAAAUGCGUAGAUAUCGAGAGGAACACCAGAGGUGAAGACGGGUUGCUGGGCCGACACUGACGCUGACAGCGCGAAAGCCAGGGGAGCAAACGGG